rnacentral:rRNA from 1 species
UACAGGGGGGGCAAGCGUUGUUCGGAAUUACUGGGCGUAAAGGGCUCGUAGGCGGCCAACUAAGUCCGACGUGAAAUCCCAAAGCUUAACUUUGGAACUGCGUCGGAUACUGGAUGGCUUGAAUUCGGGAGAGGGAUGCAGAAUUCCAGGUGUAGCGGUGAAAUGCGUAGAUAUCAGGAGGAACACCGGUGGCGAAAGCGGCUCACUGGACCGUUACUGACGCUGAGGUGCGAAAGCUAGGGGAGCAAACGGG